CGCGAGUUCUGAGAGCUGCGUCUGCUGUCCGGGGUCUCGGGAGCUUUGCCAAACCUGAAUUUUUUCAUUCAAGUGCUCCCUACAAGAUCCCAGGGACAGCAGUCAUCACUACUACAGCAGGCUCUGCACCCAGCACGUCGAUCCUGCUGUGGGUGGCUGAUCCUGGUUGUGCAGGAGCUGGCUUUCCCGGUGACUCCUGCAUGUCUGCUACUUGUCUGCUGAGAGCCAGCGUUCAGCUUACCUUUUGGAGAUUUUAUUCCAGUUUGGUUCUAUCAUCUGAGAGAGAAGACUGAGACGUCACUCCAGUGCUCUCCAGCACAACUGGAUAACUGAGCACUGAAUGAUAAAAACAACACACAUACCGGAGUUUCUGUAGUGGAUGUGGCUGGCUGUUGUAAUGACUGUGGUCGAGAUUCCUCUGAUUGAGUCCUAACCA